rnacentral:rRNA from 1 species
UACGUAGGGGGGCAAGCGUUGUCCGGAUUUAUUGGGCGUAAAGAGCGUGUAGGCGGCCUGAAAGGUCAGCUGUGAAAACUCGAGGCUCAACCUCGAGACGUCGGUUGAAACCAUCUGGCUAGAGUCCGGAAGAGGAGUGUGGAAUUCCCGGUGUAGCGGUGAAAUGCGCAGAUAUCGGGAGGAACACCGGUGGCGAAGGCGGAUCUCUGGGCCAUUACUGACGCUGAGGAGCGAAAGCGUGGGGAGCGAACAGG